rnacentral:rRNA from 1 species
UACGGGGGGGGCAAGCGUUAUCCGGAUUCACUGGGUUUAAAGGGUGCGUAGGUGGGCAGGUAAGUCAGUGGUGAAAUCUCCGGGCUUAACCCGGAAACUGCCAUUGAUACUAUCAGUCUUGAAUACCGUGGAGGUAAGCGGAAUAUGCCAUGUAGCGGUGAAAUGCUUAGGUAUGACAUAGAACACCAAUUGCGAAGGCAGCUUACUACCCGAAUAUUGACACUGAGGCACGAAAGCGUGGGGAUCAAACAGG